GUGGACAGAGGAACAAGUGGGUGACGUCAACAAAAAUUAAUGAAAACAAAAAGACACAGGUUUAGUUACCUUGGGGAUGAGGCCUGAACACUUUCACAGAGAGCUGCAUCCCUAUUGCCAGUUUAUGGCAGCUAAAAAACUUGAGCCAGGUAUUCAGUGAGGCUCCUCACCUCUUUUAUUUUUUUAUUCUUGUAUGUUUGUGAGUGUGUGUACAUGCUCAUGUGUGUGUGUGUGUGCAUUGCCUGCAUGUUGAAGUCAGAAGACAACCCCAGUGUCAUUUUACACCUGUGUUUAGAGUCAGCUUGGAGCUUGUUGAUUGGGCUGGUCAGCCAGGAAGUCCCAAGAAUCUCCGUGUGUCUCUACCUCCUCAGUGCUGGGCUUAUGGAACCUUCCAUCAAGAUAUGGCUGUACCAUACACUUUUCUAGAACCUUCCAUCUAGAUAUGGCUGCUUUUACGCCGAUGGAACUGGCUGGGCCAGGUGAAGAGGAUGAGAAGAUGUCACUAAGUGCCCCCAGUCUUGGUUGUACGCAACAAGACUGUGCCUUUUUCUCAAUACUCACCUUUGAGGAACAGCUGCCGUGUUGUGAGGAGCCUCCAGGCACAGGAGGAAGCCACACAGACGUGUGCUAAGGUCUCGGUCAACAGCCACCAUCAAAAAAACAAAAGACAUGUGAGCUGUUCCUGUGACACUCGGGAUUUCAGUGCGAGGAGACCUGGGUCCCCCAGUCCCAGGCUCAUGGGAAGAACAUCAUGGCAGUACGAGAGUGAUGGGGAGACUAUUGAUGCCUUAGCAGACAGGAAGCAGAGGAGGAACCCAGGAAGGGACCUGGGAGAGAUACAUCAUCAGAAUACGCCCUGCUUUCUCCAAGAGGCCCUGCCCCCUGCCAGUCACUACCUGCCAAUAACACCAUGUGACUUCA